CCGGGAUGGUUGGUAACUGGCGAUGGGGUGAGGGGUGCCUGAGGGCGGUGGCAGUGGCUAAGGUGUGGGGCUGUGUCCUCUAUUUACUGGCACCACAUGCCCCAUGCUGGCAAGAAUGAGUCGGAAGCCUGCAGCCUGAUGAGCAAGAAACAACCAGCCAGAGAUCAUUCUGGAGCUAGAAGAGGGCAAAGGUCCAAAAGAGGACUAAAAGCUGAGCUGCGAGAAACUGACCCAGCAG